rnacentral:lncRNA from 1 species
GAGACUCUUCUCCUCCUCCUUAAACUGUUGCAUUGUAAUUACUGUGCAAACAGAAGGCCUGAGUAAUUUUUCUGUGAUUUUGUGGGUGUAAAUUUAACAAGUCAUUCCCAUACGACUUCACUGGGAGGGAAGGCUUUUUCCUUUAAGUUUUUCUCCUUAACUGAGUGCUCUCAGUUUCUGUAUGGGUGAAGUAUCGAUAGUUAACAACCUGAGUAAGAAACAGCUCUGAAUAGAGAUGACUAGCAGGGGCUGGCACUGCUGCCAGGCAAACUCUGUUUGCUGUAAGGAUGUGAGAGCAACAGCAAAUGUUUUCACAGAUGCAGGCUGUGACCCAGCUCAAAGCACAAGCUCAGGGAUGCCAAGUAGGUCUUGCAAGGCUUCUGAGAACCUUCUUGUCCCUGCCCAAACCAUUGUGGCUAAUGAGAUCCAAAGGGACACUAACAAUCAAAUCCUGUAUUUAAGUGCUGGGGUUCAUAUGAGGACCUGAGGGAUGGCAGCACUGCGGUUUGCUUCUCCAGGGCUCUAGUAGCCAGAGUUUAUUGACCUGGAGCACUGGUCUCUUUCUCAUAAGCUGGGAGAGAAUAAGUUAUGAUGGAAAGGUAUCUUUGGGAUUAUUAUUUCUGGCUUUAGCAUAUUGCAUAAAAAAUCAUGAAUCCCAAGUCACGCUCAUGUGUUGUUAGAGAAGUUUCCAUGGAAUUCAAUGAGAUUCCCUCUUAGUUCAUCACAAUACUCUGAUUUUUUCUGUUCAGCAUUAAGCACAGCAACAAAUCAGAGCAGAUGUGGCUCAAUGAAGCCACCCCACAGCUCAGGAUGAGUGAGGUGGUUACAGACAGCUUUGAAUAUGUGUAUGCUUGUGUGUCUGUUUGCAAUAUAGCCGAACAAACCUCCACUGCUGUUUGUGCUGCAGAACAGAUGACUUGGAAAAGGCUCUUGAAGUUCUGGGACUUCACCCUGACAUGUUCUGGAUUUGAACGUCCCCAAGUCUGGAGGCCGCCUGCUGCCUGGUGUGGGCUUAUCUCUGCAGGAGGCGAGCUGAAGUGCUCCGUACCAUUGCCAUGCCUUUUAAAUUUUUCUUCAUCUCCUGAAAUUGUCUGUGCUGACGUUGGACACGAACACUAAAGCAAUCAACAGCUCCAAACAGCACGGGGUGACAGUAAAUUUGCCUCAGUAAGACUCCAUCGUGGCAAACUUCCCUGUCUCUGUUUUGUCACGGCAAAACACCGCAGGAGGUGUGAGCACCACAUGUGGCUGAAAGCCUUUGGAGAUACUGCUAUAAUUUGUGAAGCAAGGCCUGACCCCCCAAGGCUGCUAAUUUCCAAGAAGGACUCAAGCUGAAAUGUUCAUACUGUCCCGGCUUCUAAAGGCACUGAAAUGUGCGCUCAGCUUUAAGAACAUGCUUCCAUUUACUUGAAUGAGCAAAGUCAGUAUAAUUAACCAUGUGCAAGUGUACGCCUGAAGAGGAAUUACAUGCUUCAGUCCUAGAUCUAUAUCUUUGAGCCUCCUUGCUUGGAUGAAUUGCAAUUUAUUCCUCUUGGACUGAGGCCUUGUGCCUUCCUCCUUGGAGACAAUUCCCAUAGUUCCUGUAUAAUUAGAUUAGCUCUGCCUAGGCCUACCUACAACGGGCAGAAUAAAUUGUUUCUAACCUCCCCA